UAACCUAGCGUCCGUUAGUAAAAUGUCAUCCCAGAUAGAGCCCUGUUCCCUAACCAAGCAUCCCUUAGUAAGGUGUCAUCCCAGAUAGAGAGAGCCCUGUUCCCUAACCUAGCGUCCCUUAGUAAGGUGUCAUCCCAGAUAGAGCCCUGUUCCCUAACCAAGCAUCCCUUAGUAAGGUGUCAUCCCAAAUAGAGCCCUGUUCCCUAACCUAGCGUCCCUUAGUAAGGUGUCAUCCCAAAUAGAGCCCUGUUCCCUAACCAAGCAUCCCUUAGUAAGGUGUCAUCCCAAAUAGAGCCCUGUUCCCUAACCAAGCGUCCCUUAGUAAGGUGUCAUCCCAAAUAGAGCCCUGUUCCCUAACCAAGCAUCCCUUAGUAAGGUGUCAUCCCAAAUAGAGCCCUGUUCCCUAACCAAGCAUCCCUUAGUAAGGUGUCAUCCCAAAUAGAGCCCUGUUCCCUAACCAAGCAUCCCUUAGUAAGGUGUCAUCCCAAAUAGAGCCCUGUUCCCUAACCAAGCGUCCCUUAGUAAGGUGUCAUCCCAAAUAGAGCCCUGUUCCCUAACCAAGCAUCCCUUAGUAAAAUGUCAUCCCAAAUAGAGCCCUGUUCCCUAACCAAGCAUCCCUUAGUAAGGUGUCAUCCCAAAUAGAGCCCUGUUCCCUAACCAAGCGUCCCUUAGUAAGGUGUCAUCCCAAAUAGAGCCCUGUUCCCUAACCAAGCAUCCCUUAGUAAGGUGUCAUCCCAAAUAGAGCCCUGUUCCCUAACCAAGCGUCCCUUAGUAAGGUGUCAUCCCAAAUAGAGCCCUGUUCCCUAUAGUACUCUUUGUGUAUUGAAGUGAUGGUGGUGAUUGUUGCUAUGAAAAGAGAUCUUGAUCUUCCUAACCUUGUUACUGAGUUACUACAGCAUAUAUAUAUAUAUAUUCAGUAUAUUAUUAAACUCUAUGUUAGAGGUGACAUUGACUACAAUGAUCUAAGCACAUUCUAUGGUGCAUUGUGUUGUGUUCCACUUCCUCCUCCAAAGCAUGCUGUUUUAAUGUUUACGUGUGUCUUAACAUGUGCCACCGUGUGUGUGUAUAUAUAUAUAUCUAUCCCUUUGCUUGGCAUCCUACAUGGCACACUAUUCCCUAUGUAGUGCACUACUUCUGACCAGAAAUACUAUAUAUAUAUAUAUAUAAUAUAAUAAUACUAUAAUAGCACUAUGUAGGCUGAUAGGGUGUCAUUUGGGACAAAUACCUUGUUAUAAAGUUCUUUUUUAAAUUUUUAUGAAUCUUCAUUUUACAUUGAACUGUUUUAAACUUUUACUUUUUUGUACCACAUUUAUUUAUCGUUGUUGUUUAUCGUUGUUGUUUAUCGUUGUUGUUUUCUUCUUCAGUACGCUCUGAAGGUCGUUGAGGUCAUAUGUUUGACCCUGUACUUAUCGUAUUGCUAUUUCCUUGUCUUUGUGUUUUUCAUUUCAUUCAGUCUCUGUUGUAGUUUCCAUUCAGUGUCUUAAGUUAAAAUGUUCUUUGAGAGACUGACAACUUUGCUCAGUCACACUGUUAUAAUCAUUGUUCUUGUGGUUAUAGUAAUGUUAUAAACAGUUUAGAUUCGUGUUUUUUUUUUCAUUCUGAAGUCUGGCCUUGGUUAAGUUACAUUUUUCAAAAAGGGAGUUUUUGUUGUUGCCACAUUCCCCAAAGAGAUACUGUGAACAGAAUCAUACAUUUACAAUGUGUUGUCAGACAGUAUGGUUCAUUUUAACAGUAGAACAGAGUGUAGAUAUGUCCAGGUGUGUGUGUGUGUGUGUGUGUGUGUGUGUGUGUGUGUGUGUGUGUGUGUGUGUGUGUGUGUGUGUGUGUGUGUGUGUGUGUGUGUGUGUGUGUGUGUGUGUGUGUGUGUGUGUGUGUGUGUGUGUGUGUGUGUGUGUGUGUGUGUGUUUGUUGUUGUUGUUGUUGUUGUUGUUACUACUAUGCUGUUAACACUGUGAACGUCGGUGGAGUGAACGUUGUUAGCGCCAUCUAGUGGGCAACAUUGCAAUAACAGUACGGAGGAGAUGUCCAAUGAAUGAUGAUUUGAGGAAAUGGACAAUGUUAAUAUUUUUGAUCAUUCUACAUGUCGUGUUUUAAAUAGCUGUCUGCCCAGAACACAAACACAACGAAUAAAGUGCCUGAGCAUUAUGACGAGAACGGCAUCACAAAUGGCACCCUUUUCCGUACAUAUUUGACUACUUUCGACCAAAGCCCAAUGGGCCCUGAUCAAAAUUGGUGCACUAUAAAGAGAAUAGGGUGGCAUUUGGGAUGCAUACAAUAUCACUAUACAGAUAAAGACUGAUUUACUGUGUGUGAUUUUAUUUAUUUUUGACAUUUUAUUUACGCAGGUGGAGAACAAUCACAAAUUCUGUCAGAAAAUACCGUAUGUUCCUUCAAUCGUAACUUUCUCUUCAAAGUGGGCUGUUUUUAAACACGGGCAUUGUUGUAGAAAAACAUUGUUGGUAUUUUUUUUUAUGCGUUGAGACACUGACUUUACUUUGACCAAAACUCUGAAUCUCUGGCAACCGGCCACAUUGCUUCCAAUGCCCCAGAGACUGAAUACAGAUUCUGAAUCUCUGGCAACCGGCCACAGUGCUUCCAAUGCCCCAGAGACUGAAUACAGAUUCUGAAUCUCUGGCAACCGGCCACAGUGCUUCCAAUGCCCCAGAGACUGAAUACAGAUUCUGAAUCUCUGGCAACCGGCCACAGUGCUUCCAAUGCCCCAGAGACUGAAUACAGAUUCUGAAUCUCUGGCAACCGGCCACAGUGCUUCCAAUGCCCCAGAGACUGAAUACAGAUUCUGAAUCUCUGGCAACCGGCCACAGUGCUUCCAAUGCCCCAGAGACUGAAUACAGAUUCUGAAUCUCUGGCAACCGGCCACAGUGCUUCCAAUGCCCCAGAGACUGAAUACAAAUUCUGAAUCUCUGGCAACCGGACACAGUGCUUCCAAUGCCCCAGAGACUGUGGCCGGUUGCCAGAGGAAAGGAGUGCGUGUCACAUCGAGGGAAGGAGGGCGUGUCACAGUAAGGGAAGGAGGGCGUGUCACAGUAAGGGAAGGAGGGCGUGUCACAGUAAGGGAAGGAGGGCGUGUCACAGUAAGGAAAGGAGACAUUCUUUUGAACCAAGUGCAGGAACGUUUUUAUAAUGUUGUCCACUUUUGUUGUUUGUGAAUUCUUUGUUGUAUCAUAAAAUGUAAAUGUAUUAUUGUCAGUAUGACAGAAGAAUAAAUCUAAUAUAUUUUCUGAUUGGA